AUGUUAGCGGCGGACGGGUGAGUAACACGUGGGUAACCUGCCUGUAAGACUGGGAUAACUCCGGGAAACCGGGGCUAAUACCGGAUGCUUGUUUGAACCGCAUGGUUCAAACAUAAAAGGUGGCUUCGGCUACCACUUACAGAUGGACCCGCGGCGCAUUAGCUAGUUGGUGAGGUAAUGGCUCACCAAGGCAACGAUGCGUAGCCGACCUGAGAGGGUGAUCGGCCACACUGGGACUGAGACACGGCCCAGACUCCUACGGGAGGCAGCAGUAGGGAAUCUUCCGCAAUGGACGAAAGUCUGACGGAGCAACGCCGCGGGAGUGAUGAAGGUUUUCGGAUCGUAAAGCUCUGUUGUUAGGGAAGAACAAGUACCGUUCGAAUAGGGCGGUACCUUGACGGUACCUAACCAGAAAGCGGCACGGCUAACUACGUGCCAGCAGCCGCGGUAAUACGUAGGUGGCAAGCGUUGUCCGGAAUUAUUGGGCGUAAAGGGCUCGCAGGCGGUUUCUUAAGUCUGAUGUGAAAG
rnacentral:rRNA from 2 species